rnacentral:rRNA from 1 species
UACAGAGGGUGCGAGCGUUGUCCGGAAUCACUGGGCGUAAAGGGCGCGUAGGCGGCCUGGUAAGCGUGCGGUGAAAGCCCGGGGCUCAACCCCGGGUCGGCCGUGCGAACUGCGAGGCUGGAGCACUGUAGAGGCAGGUGGAAUUCCGGGUGUAGCGGUGGAAUGCGUAGAGAUCCGGAGGAACACCAGCGGCGAAGGCGGCAUCCUGGACUGGUCCUGACACUCAUGAGCGAAAGCGUGGGGAGCGAUCCGG